GGCCUGAUGGUCUAGUAGUAUGAUUCGCCGUUCGGGCUUGUGUUUCGGCGAGGUCCCGGGUUCAAUUCCCGGUCAGGCCC